AUCCAUAUAAUUAAAUAGUAAAAUGUCUACCUUCCAAGUAGAAAAUGGGGGUGCAAAUCCCCCUAUGGAUA
rfam:Trichoplax adhaerens isolate Grell Red Sea mitochondrion, complete genome.